rnacentral:rRNA from 1 species
GAUGAACGCUGGCGGCGUGCUUAACACAUGCAAGUCGAACGAAGCAUUUGCGACAGAUUUUUUCGGAAUGAGGUUGCUUAUGACUGAGUGGCGGACGGGUGAGUAACGCGUGGGUAACCUGCCUUGUACUGGGGGAUAGCAGCUGGAAACGGCUGGUAAUACCGCAUAAGCGCACAAUGUUGCAUGACAUGGUGUGAAAAACUCCGGUGGUAUAAGAUGGACCCGCGUCUGAUUAGCUAGUUGGUGAGAUAACAGCCCACCAAGGCGACGAUCAGUAGCCGACCUGAGAGGGUGACCGGCCACAUUGGGACUGAGACACGGCCCAGACUCCUACGGGAGGCAGCAGUGGGGAAUAUUGCACAAUGGAGGAAACUCUGAUGCAGCGACGCCGCGUGAGUGAAGAAGUAAUUCGUUAUGUAAAGCUCUAUCAGCAGGGAAGAUAGUGACGGUACCUGACGAAGAAGCGCCGGCUAAAUACGUG